rnacentral:rRNA from 1 species
AGAGUUUGAUCCUGGCUCAGGAUGAACGCUGGCGGUGUGCCUAAGGCAUGCAAGUCGAACGCUCUAGUUUACUAGAGAGUGGCAGACGGGUGAGUAACGCGUAGGAAACCUACCCUUGAGUGGAGAAUAGCCCACCGAAAGGUGGAGUAAUACUCCAUAGUCCCUAUUAACGAAAGUUAUGUGGGUAAAGAUUUAUCGCUCAAGGAGGGGCCUGCGUCCUAUCAGGUAGUUGGUGGGGUAAGAGCCUACCAAGCCAAUAACGGGUAGCCGGUGUGAGAGCACGACCGGUCACAAGGUUACUGAGACACGGAGCCUACACCUACGGGUGGCAGCAACCAGGAAUAUUGCGCAAUGGACGAAAGUCUGACGCAGCGACACCGCGUGUGGGAUGAAGCUUUUCGGAGUGUAAACCACUGUGGCGAAGGAUGAAGUACUGACAGUACUUCGCUAGAAAGCACCAGCUAACUACGUGCCAGAAGCUUCGGUAAUACGUAGGGUGCAAGCGUUAUCCGGAUUUACUGGGCGUAAAGGGUCCGUAGGCGGCCUGAUAAGUUUCUUGUUUAAGCCCGAGGCUCAACUUCGGACAGGCAAGAAAAACUAUCAGGAUUGAGUUAGUUCGAGGUAGUUGGAAUUCUCUGUGGAGGGGU